AAGCAUUUUUUCCAAAGCUGCUAAUGUACAGAGGCAACCCUGUGGACCUCUCCAGCAGCAGGAGAGAUCCACUCUGUGAAUGAAUGUAGUCUCUUAGUGGCCGUAUCAAGACCACUAGAACUUUUUUUCUGUGAUGGGGAAAGAACUUUUUUUCCAGAAGCCUUCUAUAGUUAUGAAUUUCUAUAGCUUGUAUUUUUAUAUGGGAGUACAUGCAGGUUCCAAAAAAGAGAAAUGGUCUAACACAGAUUUUGGCUUUGACCAGAAGCUGUGAAAUUUUGGGGAAGGGAAACACCACUUUUG
rnacentral:lncRNA from 1 species